rnacentral:tRNA from 1 species
AAGAUAUUAGUAAAGUGUAUUACAUCACCUUGUCAAGGUGAAAUCGUAGGUUAAAUCCCUGCAUAUCUUA